CGCUAUCGAAAAUCAUGCAUUGGAUGGAUGCCCGGGCAUUGAGAAGGAAGGACGCUUUCAGAGGAGAAAGGCCAUGGGGAGAGAUUUUUCUGUGAUCCAUGGAUCUCCGAUCAGGAAACUGUAUCCAAGCUCCGUGGCUAGUCUGCGCUCUUUGGACUUUUCAAACUUAGCAAACUGAAACAUAGUAGCUAAAGGAAGGAAAAUCAACCGAGACCCCGUUAGUAGCGGCGAGCGAGAGCGGAACAAGGGUUUUCAUCAAAAGAAAUCCGAAGCGGUUUCAUUCGAUUUGUUGUGGAUUGGAUGAUGGAAAAACCAGCAAGCAGCAAGCGUAGUUAGAAAAGUUGCCGUAGCGCGCCCUACAGAGUUGUACAAAGUCAGCAACCGUUUUGGGGCGCAAGCAUAGGCAACACAGGAUUGAUGACGGGGUGGGGCGCGCAGUGAACUGGUUUUCUAAAAAUAUUGGAAGAUCCGGACAAAGAAGGUGAUAGCCCUGUUCAUUCGUUCCCAUGGUUCGAUCCUUCCUAGUAAAACGCGGCGUGUUCGAAUGAUGAUCGCUUUUACGCGAGAAAGGUGGACCACCCUCUAAGCCUAAGUAUUCCUCAAUGACUGAUAGUGUACAAGUACCGUGAGGGAAAGGUGAAAAGAACCCCAAUCGGGGAGUGCAAUAGAGAACCUAAGAUCCGAUGUGAACAAUCAGUCGAAGGAGUGGAGCGCGGGCGCACUCACUCUAACGGCGUACCUUUCGCAUGAUGGGUCAGCGAGGAAAUGGGAACAGCGGCUUAAGCCAUUAGGUGUACGUGCUUUCCAGAGGUGGAAGAUUUACGUUCUUCCUAUUUGACCCGAAACCGAUCGAUCUAGCCAUGAGCAGGUUGAAGAGAGCUCUAACAGGCCUUGGAGGACCGAACCCACGUAUGUGGCAAAAUACGGGGAUGACUUGUGGCUAGGGGUGAAAGGCCAACCAAGAUCGGAUAUAGCUGGUUUUCCGCGAAAUCUAUUUUAGUAGAGCAUAUGAUGUCGAUGGCCCGAGGUAGAGCACUCAAUGGGCUAGGGUGGCCCCCAUUUCGCUUUACCAACCCCAGGGAAACUCCGAAUACAGGCCGUCAUCCUUAGUAUAGACAGACUGAUUGGGUGCUAAGAUCCAAAGUCGAGAGGGAAACAGCCCAGAUCGUACGCUAAGGUCCCUAAGCAAUCACUUAGUGGAAAAGGAAGUGAUCGAGCGAUGACAACCAGGAGGUGGGCUUGGAAGAAGCCAUCCUUUGAAGAAAGCAUAAUAGCUCACUGGUCUAGCUCCAUGGCACCGAAAAUGUCUCAGGGCUCAAGUGAUUCACCGAAGCGACGAGACCUUGAAAGCGGCUUUUUCAAGUGUCAGUAGCGUGACGUUCUGUCAAUCGGGGAAGGUUUUUGGUGACAAGACCUGGAGAUAUCAGAAGUGAGAAUGCUGACAUGAGUAACGAGAAAUCCUGUGAAAAACACGAUCGCCUGCCAGUGGAAGGCUUUCUGCAUUCAGUUAAUCUACGUAGAGUGAAUCGGUCCCUAAGGAACCCCCGAAAGGGCUGCCGUCCGAUGGGUACACGAAAGUGACGAAGUUGCUUUGACUACUGAACCAUGCCUGGAUCGUUGGAGCGAAUUGGAUGAUCGGGCCGAGGGCUGCCCCCUCUUCCCCUUGCUCCCCUUUCCUUAAUAUUCACCGUCGAGUCAUCAAAGUCGUCAACUAAUUCAGAGGGGCUCGGCUGGCCCGGUCGCCCUACGCUACUGGCGCUUCAAAAGGCGAAGCUCUCAUCUUUGGCGACCAGGAAACGGAGGGCUAAAACCUGUAGUUUUGAAGCAAGGGAUGAGCGCGAAAGCCGUUGCACUUCCGUACACGCGCAUACGUUUUCUUGCUGGGGCUGACACGGAUUUCUCUCUAAAGGCGAAGAAAAAGAAGUGGGCGAACACUCGGCCCAGCGGGCGAACAUGCCGGCUCCGGCUCCGCGCACCUGCUGACACCUUUCGAAGCACUUUCACGUGUGAACCGAAGUCGUCUUGCCGAACUCCUUCCUUUCUCAUUUCAGUCCUCGCCUUUUUCAUCUUCCAUAGGGGCCUUUAGUCUUUUGAUUAGAGUGGAGGUCGCGAGAGAGCAGAGCGUACCGCCCUGCCAUAGUCACGAGGAUCUUAAUAGUCGGUCGCGACUGUUGUCAUAGUCAACGACGGUUGAAACUUCCAGGAAAAAACUUCGAAUUAGGAGGGCGAUCCUCCUGGUGAACUGACCGUACCCCAAACCGACACAGGUGAACAAGUAG
rnacentral:ncRNA from 1 species